GGAAAAUGGGAGGAGGGGCCUGCCCCAGGCCCCGCAACAAUGUUAUGGGGCA
rfam:Heterocephalus glaber contig17835, whole genome shotgun sequence.